AAAGCGUGCGCAGGCGGUUUUGUAAGUCUGAUGUGAAAUCCCCGGGCUCAACCUGGGAAUUGCAUUGGAGACUGCAAGGCUAGAAUCUGGCAGAGGGGGGUAGAAUUCCACGUGUAGCAGUGAAAUGCGUAGAUAUGUGGAGGAACACCGAUGGCGAAGGCAGCCCCCUGGGUCAAGAUUGACGCUCAUGCACGAAAGCGUGGGGAGCAAACAGGAUUAGAUACCCUUGU
rnacentral:rRNA from 1 species